AUUGAACGCUGGCGGAAUGCUUUACACAUGCAAGUCGAACGGCAGCACGGGGGCAACCCUGGUGGCGAGUGGCGAACGGGUGAGUAAUGUAUCGGAACGUGCCCAGUCGUGGGGGAUAACGUAGUGAAAAUUACGCUAAUACCGCAUACGAUCUACGGAUGAAAGCGGGGGAUCGCAAGACCUCGCGCGAUUGGAGCGGCCGAUAUCAGAUUAGGUAGUUGGUGGGGUAAAGGCUCACCAAGCCGACGAUCUGUAGCUGGUCUGAGAGGACGACCAGCCACACUGGAACUGAGACACGGUCCAGACUCCUACGGGAGGCAGCAGUGGGGAAUUUUGGACAAUGGGCGCAAGCCUGAUCCAGCCAUUCCGCGUGCAGGAUGAAGCCCUCGGGUUGUAAACUGCUUUUGUACGGAGCGAAAAGGCUCUCUCUAAUACAGGGGGCUCAUGACGGUACCGUAAGAAUAAGCACCGGCUAACUACGUGCCAGCAGCCGAC
rnacentral:rRNA from 1 species